rnacentral:rRNA from 1 species
CCCGCCCGAGGGAAUGCGGCAAAGCGGCGAGUGAGCGGCAAGAGCUCAAAUUUGAAAGCUGGCUCCUUCGGGGUCCGCAUUGUAAUUUGCAGAGGAUGCUUCGGGUGCGGCCCCUGUCUAAGUGCCCUGGAACGGGCCGUCAGAGAGGGUGAGAAUCCCGUCUGGGAUGGGGUGUCCGCGCCCGUGUGAAGCUCCUUCGACGAGUCGAGUUGUUUGGGAAUA